rnacentral:rRNA from 1 species
GACGAACGCUGGCGGCGUGCCUAAUACAUGCAAGUCGAGCGGAUGGAUGGGAGCUUGCUCCCAGAAGUCAGCGGCGGACGGGUGAGUAACACGUGGGCAACCUGCCCCUAAGAUCGGGAUAACUUCGGGAAACCGGAGCUAAUACCGGAUAUGAUUAUGUCUCACAUGAGACAUAAUGGAAAGACGGUUUCGGCUGUCACUUAGGGAUGGGCCCGCGGCGCAUUAGCUAGUUGGUGAGGUAACGGCUCACCAAGGCGACGAUGCGUAGCCGACCGGAGAGGGUGAUCGGCCGCACUGGGACUGAGACACGGCCCAGACUCCGACGGGAGGCAGCAGUAGGGAAUCUUCCGCAAUGGACGAAAGUCUGACGGAGCAACGCCGCGUGAAUGAAGAAGGUUUUCGGAUCGUAAAACUCUGUUGUUAGGGAAGAACAAGUACCAUAGUAACUGAUAGUACCUUGACGGUACCUAACCAGAAAGCCACGGCUAACUACGUGCCAGCCGCCGCCGUAAUAC